CCCCUCUUGGGACUGCUUCUGGAGAGUUUCCAGUACUCUACUGGUCUCGGUUAUGGGAGGGAGAGUAAAGCAGAGGCAUACCCAUUCCAUUCCUGGCUUGAGCAGUGGCUAGUGAGUAGAAGGCCAUCUGCUUCACGU